rnacentral:rRNA from 1 species
AGAACGAACGCUGGCGGCAUGCCUAACACAUGCAAGUCGAACGAGACCUUCGGGUCUAGUGGCGCACGGGUGCGUAACGCGUGGGAAUCUGCCCUUGGGUACGGAAUAACAGCGAGAAAUUGCUGCUAAUACCGUAUAAUGACUUCGGUCCAAAGAUUUAUCGCCCAGGGAUGAGCCCGCGUAGGAUUAGCUUGUUGGUGAGGUAAAAGCUCACCAAGGCGACGAUCCUUAGCUGGUCUGAGAGGAUGAUCAGCCACACUGGGACUGAGACACGGCCCAGACUCCUACGGGAGGCAGCAGUGGGGAAUAUUGGACAAUGGGCGAAAGCCUGAUCCAGCAAUGCCGCGUGAGUGAUGAAGCCUUAGGUUGUAAAGCUCUUUUGCCCGGGAUGAUAAUGACAGUACCGGAGAAUAAGCUCCGGCUAACUCCGCGCCAGCAGCCGC